rnacentral:rRNA from 1 species
GAAUUGACGGGACCCGCACAAGCGGUGGAUGAUGUGGUUUAAUUCGAUGCAACGCGAAAACCUUACCCACCUUUGACAUGUACGGAAUCCUUUAGAGAUAGAGGAGUGCUCGAAAGAGAGCCGUAACACAGGUGCUGCAUGGCUGUCGUCAGCUCGUGUCGUGAGAUGUUGGGUUAAGUCCCGCAACGAGCGCAACCCUUGUCAUUAGUUGCUACGAAAGGGCACUCUAAUGAGACUGCCGGUGACAAACCGGAGGAAGGUGGGGAUGACGUCAAGUCCUCAUGGCCCUUAUAGGUGGGGCUACACACGUCAUACAAUGGCUGGUACAAAGGGUUGCCAACCCGCGAGGGGGAGCCAAUCCCAUAAAGCCAGUCGUAGUCCGGAUCGCAGUCUGCAACUCGACUGCGUGAAGUCGGAAUCGCUAGUAAUCGUGGAUCAGCAUGUCACGGUGAAUACGUUCCCGGGUCUU